ACGUGCAGUUUCAUACUCUUAAGCCUGCUUUGAGUUGUGGGUUAGAAGGAGCCACCUUCUAGCUAGCAGUUUUAGAAGGCUGAACCCCAGAAUCCAGAAACAAGAACCGAGCAGGGACGGAGAAAAAAGAAGAAUCCAAAUGGGAAAUGAGAUAAGGCCUCUUCAUUUUCAACUGUGAAGGAUCUACAUGGACUUGGUCUGGAUAGCCUUUCCAGUUUUGAUGAGCCAGUCGGGUCUAGAGGAAAAACCCUAUAUGAGCCCCAGGAUUUUAUGUGGUAUGUAAACGUUCGAAAAACGCCGAAGAGCCCCGUAUAAGAGCCCCAGUGUGAUAGGCUGGUUGCUGUCAUGUGACACACGCCACCACAAGAAAGCGGAAACGCAUCGUAGAGCGAGAGCUGGCCGUGUGGGGUAAGAUCCUUGCUCCUGAUAUCCUGAUGUAUGGGUUGCACUUCAUUAUAUGACUCCAACAGAACACUCACAGAAAGGAGAGU